AGAGUUUCCUUCAGGGGAUGGGGGUAGAAAGACUUCAAAACCUUGCCCAGAACGUGAAAUGUGGAGUGAAAAACAAACUUUCAGCUGACUUGUUCUGAUGGAGCUGAUGAGWGGCUGGCACACUUCUUAUUGGGGACYGUAAAAGAGAAUUUGGAUGAACUGCAAAGUUGAUGUCAUUCCUACUCCCUGUGGAAACGAACAGCUCUUAGCUGGAUGAGAAAUCAAUGCCAAUCAAGAYCACAGAAAUUAUUAAGGACUUCCCAUCCCGCGCCUUCACUCGAGAUUUUAUUGAGAACUGUGGAGAGACAUAUUCGAGCAGUUGUGAAGCUUCUCCCACGAUGUUAGCUUUGGAACAUUUUGUCUAAGUCACAAGUGCUGAAAUAAUUAAUUUUCUUCCUUUUAGCUAUGGUUUCUUAGCAUAGUACUAGGGAUUAUAAUGACUUGAAUGAUUGAUAUCCAUGAUUAAAUGCUUGUUCUUGGGAAAGGUAGAGYGUACCAUGGCUGUCAAAUGUUGGCUCCCUUUUAAGUUUGUGUUAAUUAUUUGCUAAUCUAUGACUCUUUCUUUAGUAAAAUCCCUUUCACAGGAUGAGAAGUGAGUGUGAGAUGUAAAUAAUUGACAACAAUGUGUAUUUCUCUGUAAUUUAAACAAAAAUAUAUGUCUCUAAAGCAGUUUUGUUAGCUAGGAUCCUUCUCUGCCCUAUGAAAAUCACAUGCCUUUUCAAYCCACCUAUUUUAUGUUCCUGUUUUGGAAGGAAAUUUUGAUGUCAGGAUUAGAUGUAUAAUUUCUAUGUGGUUUUACAGAGCUUCAGUGGUGUGUGAAUCCUACCUUUGGUGUGUUUAGGAAAUCCAUGUCUUCACUARAGAGCUGCAAGGGCUGAGUUAAC